rnacentral:rRNA from 1 species
UGCGGCGUGCUUAACACAUGCAAGUCGAACGGAGAUUCAGCGAAUGGAGUCUUAGUGGCGAACGGGUAGGAGUAACGCGUAGGCGAAUACUGCCUCUAGAUGGGGACGAACAAUCCCGAAACGGGGUAGGCUAAUACCGAAUAGUUGUAUGAUUUUUCGCAUGGAGAUGAUACUAAAGGUGGCCUCUGAAUAUGCUACCGCUAGAAGAUGAGCCUGCGUCUGAUUAGCUAGUUGGAGGGGUAACGGCCCACCAAGGCUUCGAUCAGUAGCCGGUCUGAGAGGAUGAACGGCCACACUGGGACUGAGACACGGCCCAGACUCCUACGGGAGGCAGCAGUGGGGAAUCUUCCGCAAUGGACGAAAGUCUGACGGAGCAACGCCGCGUGAAGUGAAGAAGGUUUUCGGAUCGUAAAGCUCUUUCGUCAGGGACGAACGUAUUUCUUGUAAAUAAUGAGAGAUAGUGACGGUACCUGAAUAAGAAGCCACGGCUAACUACGUGCCAGCCGCCGC